rnacentral:rRNA from 1 species
CCUACGGGAGGCAGCAGCAAGGAAUUUUCGGCAAUGGGCGCAAGCCUGACCGAGCAACGCCGCGUGGAGGACGACGGCCUUCGGGUUGUAAACUCCUUUUACGGGGGACGACAUCGACUGUACCCCGCGAAUCAGGCUCGGCUAACUCUGUGCCAGCAGCCGCGGUAAU